rnacentral:rRNA from 1 species
AGAGGUCUCGCCUGCCCUGUGAUAUAUAUUUAACGGCCGCGGUAUUUUGACCGUGCAAAGGUAGCGUAAUCACUUGUCCUUUAAAUGAAGACCUGUAUGAAUGGCAUAACGAGGGCUUAACUGUCUUCUUUUUCUAGUCAAUGAAAUUGAUCUUCCCGUGCAGAAGCGGGAAUACAACCAUAAGACGAGAAGACCCUAUGGAGCUUUAAACAAAAAUAGAUCUUGUUAAACAUAUCUAAAUUAAAGAAAUGAACUAAAAGAACCCUAUCAUCNAUGUUUUUGGUUGGGGCGACCGCGGAGAAACAAACAACCUCCAUGUGGACUGAGAAAACAUUUCCCACAACAAAGAGCUACAGCUCUAAUUAACAGAAUUUCUGACCUUNAAGAUCCGGCAGUGCCGAUCAACGGACCGAGUUACCCUAGGGAUAACAGCGCAAUCCUCUUUAAGAGUUCAUAUCGACAAGGGGGUUUACGACCUCGAUGUUGGAUCAGGACACCCUAAUGGUGCAGCAGCUAUUAAGGG